AGUAGUCCACACACUACAAUCAUGUCAGAACCUGCGUUCGCCUUGCCUUUGUCCUUCCACUUUUCUGACACUUCCCGGGGUCAAGCUCGGUCCUACAACAUCUUUAAAGGUUCUCAUCAACAUUGGCCAGCGGCAGUAUUCUCUGGGCAAGAAUGCCAUCAACUCACUUCUAAUGGAAUUAGAAAGUGAUGUUGAUGAUAAUCUAGCGGUUGUCAACACCUCUGAUGAAGAACGGCUCGAGUGUGAGGGUUGGAGGAGGCAGCAGAUGACCUUGAAAUGACUACGACAAUGAGGGGGAGGCAGCGGGGUGGCAGAUUUGGCCAUCAGAGUUGGUGUGGUUGGCAGCCAUUUUGUUGACAUACCCAAAAGAUAAGUUGGCAUAUCUCUGUAUAUUCUUGUUCUCUAUAGAAUUUAUGAUAUUUUGGUAUAUUUUCAUGUAUAAAUAUCAUAUUUAAUAAUAGAUACAAUGCUUUUUAUAAGAAAUUUCCAUUGUGAAACUAGGAGGUCAAAAAAUUGUUUUUAUAUUCGAAUCAAUUUUUUGGGUUAGAAUUUUAAUUUUAUAACAGCAAAAUAAUUGUCAAACAUCCAGCAAGCCACCAUAAAAGUUUUAUGCAAAUCCACAAAUAAUUAAAUAAGAAAAUAACACCUUAAAAUUGACAUACCCUUGCUCUAUUUCAGGUGGCAG